rnacentral:misc_RNA from 1 species
GAUGAAGAACGUAGCGAAAUGCGAUAAGUAAUGUGAAUUGCAGAAUUCAGUGAAUCAUCGAAUCUUUGAACGCACAUUGCGCCCGUCAGUAUUCUGGCGGGCAUGCCUGUUCGAGCGUCAUUUCAACCCUCGCAGCCCAUCUGGGCAGCGGUGUUGGGGACCGGCACCACCGGCGAAGCCCUUAGGGGCCCAGCCGGCGCCGCCCCCGAAAUACAGUGGCGGUCUCGCUGCAGCCUCCCUUGCGUAGUAGCACACCUCGCACCGGAGCGCAGCGCGGCCACGCCGUAAAACCCCCGACUUUCUGAGUUUGACCUCGAAUCAGGUAGGAAUACCCGCUGAACUUAAGCAUAUCAAUAAGCGGAGGA